GAUCCAGAGAUGGCCAAGG
rnacentral:misc_RNA from 1 species